AGACGGAGGGGGCUAGCGUUGUUCGGAAUUACUGGGCGUAAAGCGCGCGUAGGCGGUCCGUUUAGUUAGGCGUGAAAGGCCUGGGCUCAACCCGGGAACUGCGUUUAAAACUGGCGGGCUAGAGUCCGGGAGAGGGUGGCGGAAUUCCCAGUGUAGAGGUGAAAUUCGUAGAUAUUAGGAAGAACACCAGUGGCGAAGGCGGCCACCUGGCCCGGUACUGACGCUGAGGUGCGAAAGCGUGGGGAGCAAACAGGAUUAGAAACCCCAGUAGUCC
rnacentral:rRNA from 1 species